UCUGUAUGACAUGGUGGCUUCUAGGCAGCAGCUGGCUACAUGGACAUGGCUUUCAAUAAUAAGGAACAGACAGUUAUAGACCAGCAAGAACAUCCCUAGCCUUCAUCUCAUCCAUAUAUGCAACACAUGGGAUGUGGCAAAUUUUAGAACAAGUGGAAUAUACACAGCCAGAGACAGGAAGGUGAUAUGGAGUUUGGCCUACUUCAAGGAGGUCCAUGUCCAGCAUGGCUUGAUUGUCUUCUAAAAAGAAGAGGAAAUUACAUGCGGAGAAUUCUUAAGAUAUUCAAGAGAGGCUACAGCUGGCAGAAGAAAAGGGAUUAGUAUAAUCAAAUGUAUUGGCCUUCAUCACUGGACUGCUGGACAUUCAGUUUCUGGGAUUUCAGCACCAACCAAAAGUUACAUUCUCUUUUACUGCGAACUCUUUUUUGCAUGCACACAGAAACUACUGGUAUUGUGUGCACGCACAUUGAACUUACGAUUGCCCUUGCAAGAAACAUCACAAGAACAACUAUUUGAUUUGUGGGACUUAGCUUUUCUGUCAUCACACAUAUUUAUAUAUUAUAGAAAUGUCACAGCUUUUCUGUCAUCACACAUAUUUUAUAUUAUAGAAAUGUCACACACUGAGUGUGUUGUUAGUGUAGUUUAUCUGUUAGAAUUGGAUUGAGAUUAUUAUCAUGGUUUUAUUCACUUAGAUGAACCUUCAAUUGUUGCAUGUGAGUGUGUGUGGUAAAUUAAGAACUUCCAAAUGGAAACAGUGAAGGUUUUGAAAGCCAGCUUGGCAUAUAUACGUACACUGUGCAUGAUGUCAGUCUGUAAACACUGACAAGUUGAGAAUUUUUUUUUUUCGAUAUUUUCCGAAAUAUUCCUGAUUAUAUACUGGAGUACAUAAAAAGUAUCUUUUAAGAGUACAUGUAAUACUCCGUAAAAAGAAAAAAAAUGUAGUGAAAAUUAUGUAUGAGAUUUAGUUUUUCACUUUGUUCACACCUGGAUGAUAUGAGUAGAAUGAGACUGUUCUGUCUUAAAUGCCAUGGAACACAAUACUGCAGGGUGUUUUAAGUGUGCCAUAUUUUAUCUGCAGCUUAGUUUCGAAAACCAAGAAAAUGGAACUAAGGUCCUCUUCCAUUAUUCCAUGCACCAUUAUUCAGGAAAAAUGCCGACU